rnacentral:rRNA from 1 species
AUUGAACGCUGGCGGCAGGCCUAACACAUGCAAGUCGAGCGGAUGAAGGGAGCUUGCUCCUGGAUUCAGCGGCGGACGGGUGAGUAAUGCCUAGGAAUCUGCCUGGUAGUGGGGGAUAACGUCCGGAAACGGGCGCUAAUACCGCAUACGUCCUGAGGGAGAAAGUGGGGGAGCUUCGGACCUCACGCUAUCAUAUGAGCCUAGGUCGGAUUAGCUAGUUGGUGGGGUAAAGGCCUACCAGGGCGAGGAUCCGUAACUGGUCUGAGAGGAUGAUCAGUCAGCUUGGAACAGAGGAAGGGCCGAGACUCCUACAGGAGGACGCAGUGGGGAAUAUUGGGCAAAGGACGAGAGCGUGAUACAGCCAUGCCGCGUGUGUGCAGAAGGACUUCGGAUGGUAAAGCGAUUUAAGUCGGGAGGAAGGGAAGUACGUUAAUACCUUGCUAUAUUGACGGUACCAACAGAAUAAGCACCGGCUAACUUCGUG